rnacentral:rRNA from 1 species
GGCGAACGCUGGCGGCGUGCCUAACACAUGCAAGUCGAGCGAAGAGUUGGGAGCUUGCUUCUGGUUCUUAGCGGCGGACGGGUGAGUAACGCGUGAGCAACCUGCCUCGAACUGGGGGAUAACGCAUCGAAAGAUGUGCUAAUACCGCGUAAGACCACAGCACCACAUGGUGCAGGGGUCAAAGGAGCAAUCCGGUUUGAGAUGGGCUCGCGUCCGAUUAGCUAGUUGGCGGGAUAACAGCCCACCAAGGCGACGAUCGGUAGCCGACCUGAGAGGGUGAUCGGCCACAUUGGAACUGAGACACGGUCCAGACUCCUACGGGAGGCAGCAGUGGGGAAUAGUGGGCAAUGGGCGAAAGCCUGACCCAGCAACGCCGCGUGAGGGAAGAAGGGUUUCGGCUCGUAAACCUCUGUCCUAUGGGACGAAGAAGUGACGGUACCAUAGGAGGAAGCCCCGGCUAACUACGUGCCAGCAGCCGCAUAACAC